UCUGGGUAUCUCAUGUUGAAAGCAUUUGUGUAAGUGUAUGUGUUUGAGACAAAGUAUUGUUGUGAAGUGAGUUACUCCAGGAGGAACACGGCCAGAGACGAUACAAACAAGUUUGGUUAUUGUUUUAAGUGAUAUAUUCUUGUGGUAUGAACGAGAAGUGCAAGGGGACUCUCUGUGUGAUUGCGUAAUUGUGCUGUGUGAGUGAGACGCAGCAUCGCUGCGAAGAGAGUGAGAAGUUCCGAUCUGCGGUUCCGUAUUCUCCGUGAGGGGAACGGCUGGAGACGAACAAAGCGCAUGACAGACUGAAAAGAAGUGCUGUUUUAUCCAAGUGUUGAUUGGUGGUGCCCAAUAUACGGGCCCGGGGGUGCACAAUAUACA